CCAGGCAGCAGCAGCAGCCAGGUGGCAGAAAGGAGCACACAGCAUCCAGGUGGGGGGAACGACUCCAGCAGGGUUUCCAUGGAGAUUCCUCUGGGUCUAGCCUAAAAACAGCAGAUCAGCUGACACCAUUAGCUCAGGACCUAAUUACUGCUUAUUGGAGCAACAAAUGAGGGAGAGGGCCAGCUGCAGAGAGAAGAGGGGCUCGCUCCCCCUCCCAACCCCUCAUGUCCUCCGCCUUCGUCUCCCGUCAAUUGUCAUUUACUUGGAGGUUUCCCUGCAGAAGCUUCCUCAAGCCCCCCAGGCUCUCCUACCGGCUCCCUCCCCCCCCGCCCCUAUUUUAGAACAGAGAAACCGUCCCGUAUCAUAAACAGGUCGGGCCUGGGCAGUUCGGCUUGGGGCUGGUUGAAAAAUAGAAGAGGCCACUGUCACGGCACACCUGGAGGAAGCCACAGUCGGACCUAAUGCAGGCAAGAAGAGCAGAAAAUCUUGAAUUGGGCAUUUUGAGACAUUUUUAGUGCAUCCAUCUUUCAUUUUGCUAUAACACCUGAUAAAAAAGAGUCCCGAUCCACCUGGGGCCUGGAUUACAACAGGCAAAUGCACAAACAGGGGUGCAGCAGGCUGUGAAGUGCAUGCAAAAGGUUUCUAUCUGCACAACUCGAUUGCAGCAGAGCAGCCUGUAGGAAGCAGGACCUAUUGGAAAGAGCACGGGCCUGGGAAUCAGAGGACCUGGGCUGUAAUCCCGACUCCACCACUUGCCUGGUGUGUGACCAUGGAAAUGAACCUAAAGAGAAGGAAGACUGUGGGUCGAAGGUGAUAAGGAGCCUCUGGAAAAUAUUGACGGACAUUCACGAUUAACUGGUGGUCCUAAACCAUCCUUCAACCAUCUCCCUUCAGCUGCUUUCUGCUAUCAAACUCCUGGUCCAUUGCUUGGUUGGAUAAUUCUGACUCGAUCACUAAGAGAAGACACUAAAUAGACUAAAGGCUCCAACAAAAAUGAACAAGACCGGUGUAAUAUUGCGAAUCCAACUUUUUGUUAUAUAUAAAACUCAAAUUUUUACUCA